GGAUGCUGCUAAUGAUCUUAUCGGUAAAGGAGAUUCCUUAUUAAAUAUUAGAUUAAAAUCCAUUAUCUAUGCGGCCUCAACCUUAUAAUAAUACGGUAGAUAUACUAUCAUAUCUUGGUGUUAUAAAAUUUAUCAAAAUAUAUUGUCAACAUUCUAAUCUUGGUUGGCUGCUACCCCACAAGACCUGUUAAGCGAUAUAAUCAGUGCAACACCGUCUUUGCUACCUAAAAGUUUAAUUUUGCCUUUCAGUUAUCGUUUUCGGAUGGAAAUUAUGUGGUCAGCGGUUGAAAGUCGUUGAGUCAGUGUCUAUAUUUGUAGCUAAACGGUUUUGGUUCCUGUUGUAGUGAAUUUAGUUUUAAAAGGGAUUUUUUACGUUAUUUAUCAAAGUCGACUUGGAUCGAAAUGAAUUUUAGGCGUGAGGACACACCAUAGUCAGGAAAGGCCGUGUAAGAAAUAUGCCGAAUAAGGAUCACGUCUCGGAUCACAUGCAUAUAGCCUGGCUUGGUACCGUCGUCAUCGUGGUCCAGGUCAACGGUAUAUUAUGAAUGGGAAUAGCGAUCUCAGCAUAAUUUGGGAAAAGGAAAUACACGCGGGCAUUGAAGGGAAAGACAGAUUGGCUUUAACUAUUGAAAGUUUAAGUCGAUCCCGGUGACUUUUAUAUUUUGUUUGCUUUUGUUCAUUUUAUUUUUAAAUCUUAAAUUGUAAUUAAAAUAGUUAUUUUUUUUAAAA